rnacentral:lncRNA from 1 species
CGCCGCGCAUGAGGUAUUGUUUAUGUUGGCCACGCUUUUGACUGUUGAGCCGUAUGGUUUUGCCCCAUAAAAGAUACCUCCUAAGGGUAUCAAAAACUCCACUUUCAUAUAAGAAGGAGUAUCUCCUUGACUCCAAUCGAUGUGGGACUAAAUGUCUCUUCUUGCAACAGUACCAAUAAUAAUUAUUAUCAGAUCACUCC